UGUGAUGCUGGCGGUGUGCCUUCAAGUAUGCAGUCGAACGGUAAAUUCCCUAUCGGGGAAUACGAGUGGCAGACGGGUGAGUAAUACGUAGGAACUUACCCUCAAGUGGGGAAUAGCCCACCGAAAGGUGGGGUAAUGCCGCAUGUGAUCGCAAGAUCAAAGCAGCAAUGCGCUUGAGGAGAGGCCUACGCCCUAUCAGGUAGUUGGUGAGGUAAUGGCUCACCAAGCCAAUGACGGGUAGCCGAUGUGAGAGCAUGAUCGGCCACAAGGUAACUGAGACACGGUGCCUACACCUACGGGUGGCAGCAACUGGGAAUAUUGCGCAAUGGACGAAAGUCUGACGCAGCGACACCGCGUGUGGGAAGAAGCUUUUCGGAGUGUAAACCACUGUGGCAGGGGAACAAUUUUUGAGCGUACCCUGCUAGAAAGCACCUGCUAACUACGUGCCAGAAGCCUCGGUAAUACGUAGGGUGCAAGCAUUAUCCGGAUUUACUGGGCGUAAAGCGUACCGUCGGUGGCUUAUUAAGUUUCGUCUUUAAUACUGGGGCUCAACUCCAGAUACAGGACGGAAAACUGAUCAGCUAGAGUUUACUAUGGGGAGCUGGAAUUCUCGGUGGAGGGGUGAA
rnacentral:rRNA from 1 species